UUAAAUACACCAGCUAACACAUCAUAUUUCACAUAAGAGAUGCUCAAAUGAGAUGGAUAAACAUUAUCCAAAUGAAUUAUUGGAAAUACGUUCACUGUUCUAAAUUAAAUUGAAAGCAAAUUUUAAUCCAUUACUGAAUUUUGAAGUCACAAGAUUUUGCUCUGAUUUGGAAACCUUUUCAGCUCCUCUCCACAGCCCUGAAUUUUCCACAAGGUAAGUUUGCAAUCUUGAUCUGUUUAACACCCACUCUGCAAGCGAUAAGCAGGAGCAGUGGUUUAGUUACAAUAAAAAAUUGCUCCACCUACUAAAGUGAGCUCAUUUUGGGUAUUCAUAAUUGGAAUAAUAUGAAUUUUAAAGUUUUGGUUGUUCUUUUUCUUAAUUUUUAGCAAUUCAAGUUGUGUUCUUGGAGUUCUUCAUCUUGAAGGGCUGUGGUUUAAGAGGUGAGCCAGGCAUGGGUGGUGCCCAAGAGCCCCAGAGACCUCUCCUGCUGCUGCCCAGCUCUGCAGGGAUGGCUGGGCAAAGCUCCUCAUGGAACAGCUUUCCUGCCACACAAGAACCUGGAAAAUCACAGUGAGGGGUUUGAAACUCUUCCCCAUGUCCUACCACUAUCUGCCCUUGUGAAAAGCUGCUCAGAGGACAUUUUCAGUUCAGUCCAUCUGAAAUGUUGAUUACACCUGUAUGUAAGAGCCUGCAAUUGUGAAAUGUGAUGAAGAGCAGGGUGGGCACAGCAGCCUGUGGCAGGCAGGGUGCCCCUGCAUACCCUGGGUACUGUGCACGAGAACAGGGGUUUUCCAGCUUGGCCUCACUGUGCUGUCUCCUCAGUAGAUGGAUUUCACACCCUUCAAUGAGAAGACUGAUUGCAUGUGCCUGAGGGAGUUAAAACCUGGUUUCAUCUAUAGCUUCCUUGUUUCAUGUCUAACUUUCUCAAACUUUCACCAUUUUCCAUGGUGGUGACUGGAAUUUUCCAUGCCAGCCUUGCACCCAAAGGUGACUAUAUAAAGAUCACUAUGAUCAAAGAAAA